rnacentral:rRNA from 1 species
UACAGAGGGGGCAAGCGUUGUUCGGAAUUACUGGGCGUAAAGGGCGCGUAGGCGGCCUUCUAAGUCGAACGUGAAAUCCCCGGGCUCAACCCGGGAACUGCGUCCGAGACUGAAAGGCUUGAAUCCGGGAGAGGGAUGUGGAAUUCCAGGUGUAGCGGUGAAAUGCGUAGAUAUCUGGAGGAACAUCGGUGGCGAAGGCGGCAUCCUGGACCGGUAUUGACGCUGAGGCGCGAAAGCCAGGGGAGCAAACGGG